rnacentral:rRNA from 1 species
GUCUUUUUGAAUUAAAUUUAAAGUCUAACCUGCCCACUGAAAUUUUUAAAUGGCCGCAGUAUUCUAACUGUGCAAAGGUAGCAUAAUCAUUAGUCUUUUAAUUGAAGGCUGGAAUGAAUGGUUGGACGAAAUAUUAACUGUUUCAUUUAAAUUUUUUAUAGAAUUUUAUUUUUUAGUCAAAAAGCUAAAAUAAAUUUAAAAGACGAGAAGACCCUAUAAAUCUUUAUAUUUUGUUUAUUUUAAUUAUAAAGAUUAUUUUUAUUAUAAUAAAUUAAAAUAUUUUAUUGGGGUGAUAUUAAAAUUUAAAAAACUUUUAAUUUUAAAAACCAUUAAUUUAUGAAUAAUUGAUCCAUUAAUAAUGAUUAAAAAUUUAAGUUACUUUAGGGAUAACAGCGUAAUUUUUUUGGAGAGUUCAUAUCGAUAAAAAAGAUUGCGACCUCGAUGUUGGAUUAAGAUAUAAUUUUGGGUGUAGCCGUUCAAAUUUUAAGUCUGUUCGACUUUUAAAUUCUU